UUGCUUAGGCAGCACAAAUGCUAAAAUUGGAAUGAUACAGAGUAGAUUAGCAUGGCCCCUGAGGAAUUGUGACACGCAAAUUUGUGAAGCGUUCCACAUUGAA